GCAGCAGCCGCGGUAAUACAGAGGGUGCGAGCGUUAAUCGGAUUUACUGGGCGUAAAGCGUGCGUAGGCGGCUUUUUAAGUCGGAUGUGAAAUCCCUGAGCUUAACUUAGGAAUUGCAUUCGAUACUGGGAAGCUAGAGUAUGGGAGAGGAUGGUAGAAUUCCAGGUGUAGCGGUGAAAUGCGUAGAGAUCUGGAGGAAUACCGAUGGCGAAGGCAGCCAUCUGGCCUAAUACUGACGCUGAGGUACGAAAACAUGGGGAGCAAACAGGAUUAGAUACCCGGGUAGUCCCUGUCUCUUAUAC
rnacentral:rRNA from 1 species